rnacentral:rRNA from 1 species
AUUGAACGCUGGCGGCAGGACUAACACAUGCAAGUUGAGCGGAGCGGCGUCCGGGUUCGUAAUGCCUAGGCAUCUGCCUGGUAGUGCUGGAUAACGUCCCGAAAUGGGCGCUUAUCCCGCAUCCUAUCAGAUGAGCCUAGUUCGGCUUAGCUAGUGGGUGGGGUAAAGGCCUACCAAGGCGACGAUCCGUAACUGGUCUGAGCGGAUGAUCAGUCACACUGGAACUGAGACACGGUCAAGACUCCUACGGGAGGCAGCAGUGGGGAAUAUUGGACAAUGGGCGAAAGCCUGAUCCAGCCAUGCCGCGUGUGUGAAGAAGGUCUUCGGAUUGUAAAGCACUUUAAGUUGGGAGGCGUUACCAAAAGAAUAAGGACCGGCUAACUUCGUGCCAGCAGCCGCGGUAAUAC